UAAAUGUUAGCUAGGGGUGUAACGGUGCAUGUAUUUGUAUUGAACCAUUUCGGUACGGGACGUUCGGUUCAGUACAGGGCUGUUCACGGGUGAGUUUGCGUUGGGUGUGUUUACAUUCGGUGUUGCCAACUUAGCGACUUUCUCGCCAAGUCUGGCAACUGUCCAAACUCUCUUGAUGACUUAUUUUCUCAAAGGCGACUAGCAAUAAAUCUAACUACUUUUCCUGGAGUUACUGGAGACUUUUCUGAUGUUUGGCGACUGAAAGUGAAAGUUUCUGUUGUCACCGAGUGGCAGUGGGUCUCCUCCUCCUCCGCUGCCUGCAGCAGCCUGA